GACGAACGCUGGCGGCGUGCUUAACACAUGCAAGUCGAACGGGAAGGCCCUGCUUUUGUGGGGUGCUCGAGUGGCGAACGGGUGAGUAACACGUGAGUAACCUGCCCUUGACUUUGAGAUAACUUCAGGAAACUGGGGCUAAUACCGGAUAGGAGCUCCUGCUGCAUGGUGGGGGUUGGAAAGUUUCGGCGGUUGGGGAUGGACUCGCGGCUUAUCAGCUUGUUGGUGGGGUAGUGGCUUACCAAGGCUUUGACGGGUAGCCGGCCUGAGAGGGUGACCGGCCACAUUGGGACUGAGAUACGGCCCAGACUCCUACGGGAGGCAGCAGUGGGGAAUAUUGCACAAUGGGCGGAAGCCUGAUGCAGCAACGCCGCGUGCGGGAUGACGGCCUUCGGGUUGUAAACCGCUUUCGCCUGUGACGAAGCGUGAGUGACGGUAAUGGGUAAAGAAGCACCGGCUAACUACGUG
rnacentral:rRNA from 1 species